rnacentral:rRNA from 1 species
UGCCAGACUCCUACGGGAGGCAGCAGUGGGGAAUAUUGCACAAUGGGGGGAACCCUGAUGCAGCGACGCCGCGUGGGUGAAGGAGCACCUCGGUGCGUAAAGCCCUAUCGGCAGGGAAGAAACAGACGGUACCUGACUAAGAAGCCCCGGCUAACUACGUGCCAGCAGCCGCGGUAAUACGUAGGGGGCAAGCGUUAUCCGGAUUUACUGGGUGUAAAGGGAGCGUAGACGGCAUGGCAAGUCAGAUGUGAAAGCCCGGGGCUCAACCCCGGGACUGCAUUUGAAACUGUCAGGCUGGAGUGCAGGAGAGGUAAGUGGAAUUCCUAGUGUAGCGGUGAAAUGCGUAGAUAUUAGGAGGAACACCAGUGGCGAAGGCGACUUUCUGGACAGUAACUGACGUUGAGGCACGAAAGUGUGGGGAGCAAACAGGAUUAGAUACCCGAGUA